GGGGGAUUAGCUCAGCUGAUAGAGCACCUGAUUUGCAUUCAGGGGGUCAGGGGUUUGAGUCCCCUAUCCUCCACCA
rnacentral:tRNA from 1 species